rnacentral:piRNA from 1 species
UGCUUGAGUUGAAUUGUAUCA